rnacentral:tRNA from 1 species
UGUAUUUUGGUGUAUGUUGCACUUUGAAUUUUGAUUUCAAUGGAUUAGUUUAAUUCUAAAAAAUAUAA